ensembl:lncRNA
GGGGUGAUGGACAGAUUAGUCAGGGGGAUCUGGAGGGUGAUGGACAGAUUAGUCAGGGGGAUCUGGAGGUGAUGAACAGAUUAGUCAGGGGAAAUGGAGGGUGAUGAACAGAUUAGUCAGGGGGAUCUAGAGGUGAUGGACAGAUUAGUCAGGGGGAUCUGGAGGUGAUGGACAGAUUAGUCAGGGGAAAUGGAGGGUGAUAGACAUAUUAGUCAAAGUGAUCUGGGGGGUGAUGGACAUGUUAGUCUUCAAACCUCCCCUUGCAAAAAAUGCAUUGAAAGUACAUUGAAAAGCUACUUAAUUAGCCUUCUUAUCGUAACCCCUU